CGUGGAUGGAUCUACUGCUAUGCUAUGAGAAGAGGCAACACUUGAGAGAAGUAAAAACUCGGUAAUUGGCAGAAUUGGAAAUGAGAUGUGUGCUGUUGUGAGAGGUGAUGGUAUGAUGAUCAUCAGUGGAAGUGAGGGUGGAAUGAAUGAAGAAAGAAGGUGGAGCGGAAUCCAUGGCAUGUAGCCUUUGAGAGAGCUUUAUUAAAUCCUGGAUGGGCGGGGGGGGGGUUGGUUGCUUGCUUAGUAGGGUAGAAAAAGGUCCUCUGUUUGAGAAGUCUGUCUGUAAGCCGAGCCAACAUGGUAAUGUCAUUGUUGAGGUUGAAGCUUCUUCUUGUACGGUGUAUUCCGGAGUUUGAUGUUAUGUUUGAGGGAGAUUAUGCAUGAUAAGUAGUAGGGUAUUUUGCAUUUUGAAUUGGAUUUAGGGAAGUCGUUGUGGGAGGUACGGGAGAGUGUAGUGCUUGAAUAAAGAUAGAUGUCAGGGAGAUGAGAUGAGAUGCUUCUUCUCUCUUCUGGUCUCUGCAGUGUCAUUGACUUGUUGGGUCUACUUUUCCUUUCUUAUAUAUAUAUAUAUAUUUGGUAUUUUUAUUUACUGGUUUAUAUUUUUAUAUAAUUCGCUCGCUGGUUCUUUCCGAUUCCCCCUGACUGCUGUUUUGGGUGGGGGGUUAUCCGGUUGGUUGCUUUGUGUGAAGGCUGACACUGGCAAGCAUUUGAUUUGUUACAAGUAACACAAAGUUGGGGGUACUGGUUGGUUCAUUUUGAAAGUGAAUAAAAAAGCUAGCUAUCACCUUAUAGAACCUGCAGGAGAGCUUGAGACAUGAUACUUUCCAAUCCAUUUGAUCUCGUCCUAAUGGAUGAAUUGCCUGAUUCAAUUAUUUGCUUGAUGACCGAGUUUUUAUAGAUAAAGAGUUAAUUGAGGAGUUCAGGUUUGUGCUCCGAAGGGCCUCCUUGUCUAAAAAUAAAAUUUUAAAAAAAAACAUCAGAUUAAAGAGUCAUCAAUCAAUCUUGUUUUGUGCUGGACUAGUAACGGAUUAAUGGUAGACGGUGUGCGAAAUUUUCAGGCUUUCUUGAGCCAAGCCUCCAGUGACCUGUAAUGUUGUUACAAACAAAUGGCUGUGGCUGCCUGGCAAUGAGAUCGGCCACAGACGAUCCUCUGUUGCCGUGUUAAACGUAAGAAUCCAUCAUGAUUUCUAACUCACUUCUAAUGGACAUUUUCCAAACUCCGUAAAACAUAAGGAUUUCAAGGCCAAAUGCACAAUAUUAUGGCUUCUCAUAAAGCUAGUGCUCCAAUAAUGAAUGGAUAAAAAAUUCCUUCAAAACUUUUGCCCCUCUGAAUAAAAUACCCCCUUGAUGAUUUUGAAUAUCAAAAUCUAUAGUUCCCCCCGAUGGAGUUUUUAGUUGGUCCAUCCACCGAAGCGCUUAAACGAUUCGUAGAUAUUUGAACCGUUGGAGGCAAUCGAAUGGGAUCUCGUGAAAUUACAGGUUGUGCUACUAAUCUUCUAAUGCAAGUUAUUUAAUGGAGUAUGUCUAGAUAAUGCAACGAAACUGUUUAGACAUUACCACCAACCCAUCGUGACAAAGAAAGGAUAUAAAGGGUUAUUUAGCAAUGGGUCGGAUACAAGGCAAAUACCUCCUUAUCCGUUGCCCGGUAAUUAUGCCAGCUGGUUUUAUCCUUCCCCGACCCAUCAAACUUGAUGGGUAUAAAUUUUGUACCAAACUUAUUUUGUGACGGGUUCGGAUAAACCCGUGAAAGUUGGUUAAACCCAACAAGAAUAAAAACAUAGAUUUGAAUCAUUAUCCAACAAAUCUAAAUCCAAAAAUAAGAACAUGAAUAAGAACAAUCCAAAAAUAGGAACCAUUAUUUAGGAAAUCUAAAUCCAACACUAAGAUCAACUUAAAAAUCUAGAAAAUCGACCCAAAAAUAGGAAAAAUGAACUCAUAUACACAUAAUUCAGAUACAUGAAAUGAAAAUAAGAAAAAACGUUCACAAAAAUCCCAAAAACAUGUAUCUUAGAAAGACAGAAACCAUAAAAAUUCGAACGGUAAAUUGUGGUAGACUGGUAGUUCAGAAAUUUAAACAAAGUACUAAUGAAAUGUAAAAUUUUGCGUUCCAAUCUUUCGUCAAAUCAUCAGAUUCAUUCAUCACUCCAAACUUAAUUGAAAGACCAUAUCUGCAAAAUAAUUAUGGUUCCUUAUAAGUUCGACUUUGACCUAUAUACGCUAUAAGAUAACCAUUAAAAAUACUGAGUUACAAGACAAACCUCAAACUAAUCGUCAAGGUUUGUAUGGAGGGAUUAAGGAAGGCAAGAAUCGACAACUUAUCUCGAUCAAGGAAGAAAUCCUCUGCAUGCAUGAUUCCAAGUUGAUUUGUGUGGAUUGAGGCAUUAUCGGUGAUUAGAGGAUUAAUUACGGGUAAGUUAUGAGAUUAUUGACGAUGGAUUUGAAGAUUUCCGAGAGGAAAUUGCUAGAAUCGAGGAGAAAUUGUAGGAAUGGAAUGGUCUCUGUUGCUGGAUCGAGAGGUUUUAGUGAAUUUGGGAGAAAAAAUCGAGGUGGAAUUCUUAAGGACUGAAAGUGGUGGCCGGCAGAAACCCUAAUCCUACCCGGAUCACACUUGUGGGCCGUGGACAGCUAGGCUGUCUUUCCGGGCGGGCCCCAGUGGGUAUCUGAAACCCGUGGACUCAUUGCCAAGCCUACCGGUUAUUGUGUCUAUUGACGAGCGGACCUAGCUAGAAGCAUGUUAAGGAAUAUCAUGCAUUAAAGCUUUCUAUUUUUGAAGCAACCGUUAAAAUAUAUAAGCUAAAUCUCUAAACGACGCCUUAGAAUCGAAUUGAACGACGCCCUAGACUAUACAAAGACUGAAUCAUCCUUAUCGUAAAUAUAUGGAGAACAUACUAAUUUCAUUCAAUUGGACUAUUUUAAGUAUGUUUUAGUUGAUCGACUUGUCUGACAAAACUCGGCCGAUCCAAUCUAGGAAAAAAUUUGAAAAUUUUCGAAGAACCAAUCGACCGAUUGACUGGAUGGACAAACCGAAUGGAGGGGAUUUCCGUCCGGCGAGACUAACCGGACCAACGGGAUUUUCGUCUGGCCCAGCCCGCCGGACGGACACACCAUUCGUUCGGUGAACAUACCGGACGGACGGUGUGUCCGUCCAACAAGUUGGGCCAGACGGAAAUCCCGUCAGUCUGGUUAGUCUUGCCGAAAUUUAGCCUCGACACAAGAAAGUUGUAGCCAAUCGAACAAGCUUUCCAAUUUCGCCAGUCUUGCAUCAAUCGGACGUUCGAGCGAUGAGUUAUGUAAAAAAACACUAAACUGCGACGUUUUCCGACCAACUCGACGAGUUGGGCCAUGCGGAAAUCCGAUCCUCCUGGCAUGAUAUCGCCAAAAUUUGGCCUCGACAUGAACAUGAAAAAUGUAGACAAUAGGACUAGAGUUUCAACACCGUCGGUUUUGCAUCAAUCGGACUUGAAGGCGAUGAGUUAUGUAAACAAUACUAAACUGAGACGUUUUCUGAUCAAGUCAACCGUUCUAAAUUGUUCCAACCUCUAUGGCCCUAUCCUGGUAUUUAGUACAAAUAUGAGAUUAAAUAGUUAUGUAACACAAUUGCGUACUUCAAGCGUUCGUUAACAACAAGUAUGAGAUCACUAAGUAGAACAAUGUCAUCUACGAACGCGGUUGGACUAACUUAACAUACUUUACAUGUCACCUCGAUAUAGAGUACCCUUCUAAGCCUCUUUGGCCCUAUCAUCGAUCCUGUACCUCUACAUCAUGUUCGUCAUCAUAAUUGGUAUCACCCCAUUUGUGGACAUAAACCCUAAACCUUAAACGCUAAACACUAAAUGCUAAAACCUAAAUACUAAAUCCUAAAUCCUAAACUCUAAACCCUAAACUCUAAACCCUAAUCGUUGAUAACGUCAAACACAUUGUUGAGCAGCCCAUGUAGUAUGGCGGGAGUAUAGGGGAAAGAUGAUUGCACUAAAACUAAAGAGGUGCGAGAAAUUAUGGUAUGGUCUCAACUCAUCUUCAUGCUCUUCCGUAGAGUCGAGUCUAUAUGUACAUGAGAUUCCAUGUGUAUCAUCAAUCACACAAUUGCAUCAUGUAACCUUGGAGAGCUCCUCAUUCAACAACUCAAUCGCCCAUAAGCUGUCAUGCUUAUUUAGAUACUUAAGCGGUUGUGCAUAUUUGGUUCCCCCUUAAUCCCUUGGGCCGUUUUAUGUUUUUUUUCAUGUUUUAUGUGCAUUUCUGGUGUCAUACGACGUCUUGAGAUGAACUAAACUAUAACAGGAAGGCUGGAACAACUCAGAACGAUCGACUUGGUCGAUAAACGUCACAAUUUAGUAUUUUUGAAAGAACUCAUCACUCAGACGUGUGAUUGAUGCAAGACUGACGGUGUUAAUCAAGGCGGUCAUCCAAGCGCUGUCUACUUAUCAUAUGAAUAUCUUUAUGUUAUCGGAUCAAUUCACCAAGGAGUUAAAAAAAAUUAUAAAUGCCUUCUGGUGGGACUCCAAGCGUUGCAACAGAAAGGAGAUUCCAUGGAUGAAAUGGGAGAGGUUGGUGAUAAGGAAGGAGCACAGAGGCAUGGGAUUCUGAGAACUUAGAGGCUUUAACUUGGAUCUCCUUGGAAAGCAGACAUGGCGGUCUUAACUCGACCGGAUACUCUCGUCGCCUGUCUCUACAAGGAAAAAUACUUUCCGAACGGUUCAAUUUUGGGGGCGGACUUGGGCCCUCACCCGAGCUUCGCCUGGAGAAGCCUAUGAAAUUCAAUUACAUUGAUACUGAAGGGAGAAUGAUGGCGCAUUGGUGAUGGUAAUGCAGUUAGGGCUUGGAUGGAUCCGUGGUAACCGGACGGUAAUAACCGGCAUGUCGAAAAUGCCCCAAUCUGAAGCUUGCACUGUUGGGAUACUUCGAAGUUUAAUCAAUUGUUUGAUGAGAGAGAUAUAAAUUUAAUCUUGUCCAUACCGGUGUUCGCAGCGUCGGGAACUGACAAACGUUUAUGGCACACCAAUAAAGACGGCUAGUAUACGGUUCGAUCUGCAUACUGUCUAUACAUGGAACAGAUCAUCGAUCGAACUUGACACCGGAGAGAAGGCAACUGGAAUGCACUGUGGGAUAUUGAGGCCCCUACCAAAAUGGUUCACUGUAUUUGGUGGUUAGCUUGAGACGUACUCCCGACUAGAGGCCGCUUAAGGUGUCGAGAUGUGCAGGUGCCAGGCUCAUGUGGAUUAUGUGACCAACAGUAUGAAGAAAAUUGGCAUUUAUUUAUCAAAUGUCCUUGGUCAAGAGAUUUGUGGAGAGUUGCAUGCCUCCUGGCGAUUACAGAGAGGGAAGCGGUUAAGGUGAAUGAAGUCGAUGAGUGGAUGUGGGGAAUGAUCGAAGCUUUGGAUGGUAAAUCGAGAAGUAAAUGGUGUGCAUGCUUAUGGGCGAUCUGGCGAGAAAGAAAUAACUGGGUCUGGACGAGAAAUCAUUGAACGACAGAUGUGACUUUUCAUUUAUGCACACAUGAAUUAGAGGAUUGGAAACAUUGGAUUUCAUCAUCCUCUCCGUCAACAUCUCGUAGGUGUCUCCGUAUUGUGAUGAUUGGUACCCUCCACCGGAAGGUUUUGUCAAGUAUAAUGUAGACAUCUCUCUUCGCCAUAUCCAUCUCCAAACAGGUUUCAGCAUGUGCAUCCGAGAUCAUGAAGGCAGGUUGCUUAACUUUUGCACUUUUGCAUAUCUAAGUUUGUUGGACGUGAAGAUCGGCGAUGCAGUGGUACUGGUGGAAGCUAUGCGCUGGGUAAUCUCGCUGGGAUACACCAAAUUUCAAUUCGAAAGAGACUCUCAUGUAGUUUACACGACAUUGCAGGAGACGACGAUUGACAAAACAGAGUUUGGGAUGGCUAUUUCUACUGGCGGGAGUUUGAUGAAUUUUAACAAAUACUUUUCCUGUCAUUGUGUUAGGAAAGUGAAAAAUGAGGUUGCCCAUUGGUUUGUAGAGAAAUUGUUUUUCCCUAUAACUUUGCCAUAAGGACCUAACCCUUUGAAUUGGCUCAAAGAUUUAUUUGGCAAUUGUUACCGUUUGAUUGAGCACUGAGUUAUAAAUUAUUACAUUAUAUCGGAAAAAAAAUUGAUAAUUAACGUAAAAAUAUAAUAUUUGCAUAUGAAUAAUAAGACAAACGAUUUUAUUUCAUGGUAAUUUAAUAAACUUUUCUCCCAAUCGCUAAUAUUUUAUUCAUUCCCUAACUAACUAACUAAUUAACCAAUGAAAUAUUUGCAUAGGUGGUUUGCGUCAGUGCCGGCGUCGACGCAGCCGAACCGGCUGUACGUGCACUCGGGGACCUCAAACGGGGCCACGAGCAACAUUCCGGCGCUACUGGUGAAGGGAUACCCGCAGAGGACCAUAUUCGAGAACAUAGACGACGCCGGGCUGAAGUGGGGAAUCUACUAUCAGAAUAUUCCGGCGACUCUGUUCUACCGGAACUUGAGGAAGAUCAAGUACGUGACGAAUUUCCGGCCGUACGACUUGAUGUUCAAGAGCCACGCCAAGCAAGGGAAAAAUGGGGCGACGAGCAACAUUCCGGCGUUACUGGUGAAGGGAUACCCGCAGAGGACCAUAUUCGAGAACAUAGACGACGCCGGGCUGAACUGGGGAAUCUACUAUCAGAAUAUUCCGGCGAUCCUGUUCUACCGGAACUUGAGGAAGAUCAAGUACGUGACGAAUUUCCGGCCAUACGACUUGAUGUUCAAGAGCCACGCCAAGCAAGGGAAGCUCCCUAAUUACGUGGUGGUGGAGCAGCGCUACACCGACAUGAAAAUCGCUCCGGCCAACGACGACUAUCCUUCCCACGACGUCUACCAUGGCCAGAUGUUCGUCAAAGAGGUACCGACUUCUGCUUAUACAGCGUGUAUUAAUUAUUUCAGAUUCAAUCUAGUUUUUGGAAAAAAUAUUAAAGGAGUUGACUUUAUUAAUUACGGGAAACAAUGAUAUGUUCUUAUGAAACGAAUAUGCUUGUUGAUCUGUUUAAUGCUGUUUCAAAAAAUCAUGUAUGGGAAUUUUUUAUUUAAUGGGUGAGAAACAAAAAGCUUAACAUAAUAACUUUCUGCGAGUAAUGUUCCUUAAAUCAUUUUGCUCCAUCUACUUGGAUCAUGUUUGGUUUGAUGUUUUGAGAUUCGGUAAUUUUUAUUGAAAUGACUGUAUUAGAAACAACAUAUUUAUAUUCUUUAAGAGUUUUCAAAUUUACAUUUUCAUGGAACUUAUAUUUUAUGUUUGUAUUUUAUCCAAAAUCAUUUUUUUUGUGAAAUUAAGGUGUACGAGACGUUAAAGGCAAGCCCGUAAUGGAACUAGACGAUGUUAAUAAUAACAUAUGACGAGCAUGGUAAAUUCUACGACCAUGUAUCCACAUCGGUUGAAGCCCUGACGGGAUAGUUGGUCCCGACCCAUUCAGCUUUACUUUUAAUCGAUUUAGAGUGAGAGUCCCUAUCAUUGUAAUCUUCCCUUGAAUCAAUAAGGCCACCGAUAAGUUAAGUUUCCUUCAACUUAUUCCAUCUCUGGUUUAGUUAGUCGCUGAAUUUGAAGUUUGGACGACAAGUAAAAGAAGAAUGAAGGAUUCAAGCUAAGUUAGUAUUGGUGUGAAAAUGAUCCAUACAGAUAAGUGAUAACUUUUUCAAUAAGCACCACAUGUUAUUUGCUCAACUUUGUCAAGGGGACAAAUGUGAAAACUCUUGUGUGAAUUUGAGGUCUUAUUUCUUUCUCUGAAAGUAAGUGGGGCUAGGGGGUGGUAGCUUAAUGAUAAACUAUAUGAAAAUUCUGUAACAGCAUCGAUGAAAUUAGGCACCUCUUUGUUUUUGGUUAAUAAGAUGGUAACCUUUUAUGUUUAACUGAAAUUUAACUACUUGGUAUAAUAUUCUAGUUGUGCAUGGGCCCGAGGGUCAACCAACCCUCAAUUCCGGCCACCGUCAAGGAGAUUUUCAACCUCCCAUCUUUCCUUACUCAAAGAGACCGAUGGGCUGGAACCUUUGAAUCCAUUCUCCAAUCUAGAACUCAACCCAGAACUGAUUGCCCAGGUAAAUUAAAUUAACCUUUUCUCCCUAAAUCAUCAUAUACUAUUCUACACUACCCUCGUAUUCUUCCAUAAGAAAGAAACAAUUUACUAUGUGUUGAUCACUGGACAGAGCAACUGCCAACUCCAAUGAAGAUCAGGCAAGGUGAGGCUAACGAAGAAGCAAACCUCAAGCAAAUUCCAACAGGAAAUGCUGCAGCUAGCAGCUGUUCUGAAGAGAGACAACCUUCUUUCCAGUUACCCCAAUCAGAUUGGGAAAAAAAUGACUGUGAAGCAAGGCACUGUUUACAUGGAAGAUGCUGUUCAAGGCUUCUUUCAGGCCGGUGUUUUCGCUAAGAAGAUAGGCGUCGAUGACAAACAGAUUGUACAGAUGAAGCCUUCCUUAACUACAAGACCAGCUCCCAUCACCAACAAUUACCCUUGAUGGAAAAGCAAAUAGCAUCACAACACGGCAUUUGAUAUGUAUAUGUGUAUUAUUUAUUCAUCACUAGCAGCAGAAACUUCUGAUGAAAAUCAUAAAAAACCACUACAUUACAAAUUUACUCAUGAAAAUAGAAAAGAAUGGGUUAUUUUGAUUGUGUACGUACACGUUCCUUCUCUAAAUCCAUAAACAGACUUGCAGAGCAUUGGAACAAUAUUGUACCUCUGCAAUUCUAUCUACCAGAUUCGAGUUCCUGCAUCGUUAGUUCCUAUGGUAAGAGAGGUAUGUUGCUGCACAACCGAAUAAAUCCUGCUUCGGGUAAAAACAGAAUCAUUACUGAUGUCAAAUGGAUCCGCUCAACAGUGAAACCAAGAUGGUCGGAGCCCCUGAAUGUAAUUUUAAUUUCGAGGUGAGUUUGAAAGCAAACCAAGCGAAAUUCAAAAAAAUUCAAAUUAAAAAAAUUUAUAUUAGGCACGCCCAUUCCUGAUUGUGCACUGGAUCUGCUAAAAAAAAGGGUUUCAGGAAACAUGAAUAAAGGGAUGAUCAUUUAUUUGCAAGAUGUCUGCAGCAGCAAAUGCAAACAAAGUUACUGAAACCCUACCAUGGAUUGGCUGGCAUCUUCACAAAAUGACAUUAAUAUCUCAAUCUACAUGUCCAAACAAAGAAUUCUGGGGGUCCUCUACAAUUAGUUCACUGAUUGAUAUACCAAAACAUUCUAUCCAUAGCUUGUAAACAUUCUCUUAUCUAUCUUUUCAUCUAUCUGUACCACCUUUUUGUCACUGUGUGUACAAUGUCAUCAAUAUCUUGUCUUUGGUGGACGCUGACGCAAUCUUUUCACCAUGUGAUCCAUCAAAUCAAAUACACUUCACCUCUCCCAACCUGCUAUAUUCGCCGUUGCUUCGUUUACCAUUUUUACCAAUCUCACCUGCAGAAAAUUUCACUAUGAAAAUGUCCAUUUAUUGACAGGAGGCGUUUGUGUAAAACAGCUGAUUGCAGAAGAAGCAUUAUUGGGCAUACCACACUUUCUGGAACUCCUGGUGGAGGCAAUGAGAGAUUCCUUGGUGGAGGACCACUAAGAUAGGAUCUUUUGUCGAAACGCCAUUCCCCAAUCUUCCCAUAAGUUAAUUCUCCCUGACCCAUUUCAAAAACUCAUUCGUUUACAGUAAAGCUAAAAGUCACAGUGAAGAUUCGAACAACAAAAACGAUGCAAGAUGUGAAUUCACGAUGUACCUUUAAGUUGUAGUCGCAACCAUAAGUAUAAUGAAUAAUAAAGGUCUUCCCAACUUCCAAAUCCCAUGGUGGCUGAAACAUAAUAAAUAGUUAUAUGUAAGUAACCAACCAUUGAGAACAAUAACCGAGUAAAAACAGCUGUUUUUAUUAUAUAAAGGAGAUACCUGUAUCAUGAAGUCUUUUUGAAGUAUAUGAUGAACACCAUGUAAAGCUGACGCUACAGCAUAAGCAUACCUGAGUUCCACAGAAAGACGUCAGCAAAACUUGCAAGACAGUUCAGGAAAUUGAGAUUGAUCAGCAAGGAUGGAUGUUCUUCAAUUUCACUCACAUUUCUAGCACCCAACCAAAUGCUUUAUCCGUCUCUGGAUCAUCUUUCAUCCUCAAUGAUACAUUGACCCAAGUUGGUGAAAUUUCCUCCAGGAUGGUCUGAAUAAUGAUGGUUUAAGUCAGCUGAUUGAAUGAGAUGAUAUAAUAAAAGAUGUUCACAUACAUUUAUUUACAUUGUGCAGCAGGUUCACAUUGCUAAUUGCAGACUCAUACCAAAUUGGACAUUGCUAACUGAAUAACAGACAACAAUACCAACAAAACAUUACCUUCUUAAUGAUCACAGGAGAAUUUCCAAUAGGAUCCACAUCCGUUACUGGACCCUUCUCCUUGGGAUAAAACUUUCUGACUACGUUCUCAUGUUCUGCUGGUUUAAUGUAGAAGAAGGGAAAUGCUGCUGGAUUGCCUCCGUGUGACAGGUUAGGCAAAGGAUUAACAAAUAGGUGAUCUGGCUCAGCCAUUAGGAUGUAACUGCGUAUAACCUUGGUAAGAUUCAGAAAACAUUGAGACAAAGCAAACAAGUAUCAGAGCAACUUUAUAAACUCACUCUUCCUCAAUGGUUGCCUUUUCCAGCCACUGAACGAAGGCCCACGGUCUGUUUAAGACGAUAUACCCCUGCAUUGAUCAAGAAGAUGGUAGUUAUGUCAGAUAUUGGUGAGCAACCAUUUUUUAGUGUCCCAUUUCUAUUGAACAAUUGUGAUCUGAUCAUCUGAAUAACAUUUUAACAUUCACACUACUGAAAUGAUGAACACUCUACUCCAAUGAAAUGCAAUACCACAUCAAUUUGGACAGUAAUUUCUCUUACAUACAAGUUUGAGCAUGAUUGCUUUUGUCCUGUCUAAGAUGAUAAUGUAAACCGUUUAGGGAGUCUACGAGAAUAACCUAGAUAUAAAAACCCUCAAACUACGCAAAAGUGCAACUAUAUCUAGCUGCAUUUCCCAAAACAAUAUUCCUAACACCUUAAACCCUGACGGAAGAGCUAACAAAUAGCAAAAAGGUAAAGAAAUUCAAUAGACUAACACUCUUCACUAUGAGCACAGGCCAUUAUCUGCUGGAUAUAAGCAUCGAUUCUACUUGUGCACGACGGAUUCAAAUAUGGACAGUAACUUGAAAACCUACUUUCAAUUUAUUUGUAUUGAGAUCGAUUCGAGAUAUACAGUAAGCUUAUAUACAUCUACAAGGGACAAAGUGAUCUCAAGUUAUUCCUUACAAUAGAAAUUCACCGCAUAAACUGAACAGAGGACCAUCAAGAAAGUAAUCAUAGAAACAUACCCGAUCCAAACCCUCUGGCAGAGGAUCAACAAUGAAAGUAGGGAUUUCGUCCAUAAGAUUAUCGGCCUUCCCGGAAUGCAAAACUCGCGUGAACUUUCCCAUGUCUGAUCCGGGGGCAUCUUUCAUCCUCCUAUACCAGUAGUACAUAAUCCGGCAUUGCCAUUGACUAUAAGGAGCAUCAGUUGCGGUAAGCGCCACAUGAUACUUCAAAUUCGGGUUCCCUAAUUUCCUCACCCUCUGAGGCAUCGUAGCAAUGGGAUCAGAAAAACCACCUGAUCCAUCUCCUGAGUUGGUGGCCUUGUAGUUGAUUAUCAACGUUAAUAAGUUAUAGGUUGCAAAGGCAAACCCAAAUGCCAGAAGCACCAGUAGCAAAGGUGACACCCUCCCCAUUUUUUUCCUCUCAAUCAUAUCCGUCCUCUGGAUUCGAAAUGUAAAUCCCGAAUCAAAAGAAUCUCAUUGGAAACAAUUAAAAAUUAAGAAUUAACACAUCGAUUGACACUGAAGAAUCCCCAAUUUAGCAAACCUCGCGAGCCAAACCCGCACAAGAAUCCCAAUUUUACACCAAAUCACAGUUUGUAAUACAAAUUGGUGUAAACCAACAUCACCGUAUGCCCCUUUCUUGCUGGGUCAACGAGGAAAUCAAACGCCUACUAACUGCAGCAAGAAAAAAAUAGAAAAAAGGAUUAAAUGGGGUCUCAAUAACUAGAGAGAAAGCAAUCAUCUUUAGUAACCAUAGUUGUAAAUUAAGUAGAACUAGGAAAAUGGCAGCGAUGAUUCUGAUCCAGCACACAGAAUUAGAAAGGUGGAACUAUAAAUCGAAUAAAAACAUGCACAUGCGGAUCUGAGAAACAGACAGCAAUCAGCCUACUGAUACCAACCGUUGACCAAUGAGAUGAUGGAAAAUAGAAAGUUGGAAAAUGAUGAACCGACGACCGCGAAGCAGAAUCAAUGGGAGAUGAGGGGGAAGUGAAUUACUACAGAGGAGAUUGUUUUACCGUAGGUAGGGCGAGGUUUGUUGGGGGCGGACGGAGAUAGAGAGAAAAAAGUAUAAAAAAGCGAGAGCUGAGAAGACACUUGAUUUGAUGACUUGGUAUGUCAACGAAGUGAUUGAGAGACGAUGAUGACGACGACGCGGCUUUGCUGAGCUGACAGACGUUUUGGGGAGAUCAGCGCCUGCUGCUGGAAUGAAACUGUCGCCGGAUAAACUGUUUUGCAUUCAACACAUGUUUCUCGUUUCGUUUGGUUGGCAGCGAUUUUAUUUUUGUUUUUAAUUUUGACAAAAUACCUUAGAAUAUCACGAAUUUUGGAUAUAUGUUGAAAAUUGUCACGAUUUCGAUAUAAAUUUGCUGUCACGAAGUUUUAAGUUUCAUGCCAAAAAUAUAUUGCCGUUAAUUUGUGUUGUAUUGCAUGCCACGUGGCCUUGACGACCUUAAUUUCAUGUAGAUUUUAAAUGUUAUAAAGGUAAAUAGGUGGAUUUAAUGGACACCCUUCUUCAUAUUUAAAGGUCCUCCACAUCAGAACCCUACAUUACUUCUUCUAUUUUUUUUUCGCAGUCCGUCAUUUUUCUUCUUCUUUGAAUAUGUAGGUCCAUCUAUGGGGUCUUUAUUCUCCCAGAACGAAAGGAACAGCAGGAGGUCGGGUAACGUCACCAUCACAUCCAGUUCGGUGAAGUGUUCCCACGAUGUAGAAGCAGUCCUUAAGGUGGCCACCACUAAAAAGAAUAGAGGUCGACCAUUCUUUCGUUGCCCAUUUUGGUGGACCUCCAAUUGCGGAUUCUUCGUGUGGGAGUCCGAUUACCAUAGAUCUACAUAGGAAGAUCUAGUUGCAGGCAAAUGUUGGAGGAGACUUGAAGACCCAACGUCAAAUCUGCAGUUCGAGUUAUUGCUACAUGAGAUUAGGAGUGUUAGGAACAAGAUCGAAGGCUUUGACAACAGAAUCACGCUUGUCCUUGGUAGUAUGUGGGUUGUUGUAUUAUUGGUUGCCAUUUGUUGCACUGUUCGUUAAUCCAACUUGAAUGUAUUUUUUGGCAUUGUGUGGUUGUUUGGAGUAUUAUAAUGUCUAUGAAUUUUCUGUCUUCAUCAUGUUGUAACAUGGGAACCUUCCAACCUUGUAACAUGGAACAUUUACAAAUACUUCCCAUUUUGUAUACCACAGUUACCAAAACAAAAGUUUCUAACUAACAUCCAUCCUUGUCAUAGCACAUUAUACAAAAUAGAAACUUAAUAACAUUCAUCCUUGACUUAGCACAUUACACAAAAUAGGAACAUAAUAACAACCUUCCAACCUUGUACCAUGGAACAUUUACAAAUACUUCCCAUGUUGUAUACCGUAGUUACCAAAGCAAAAGCUACUAACUAACAUCCAUCCUUGUCAUAGCACAUUACACAAAAUAGAAACUUAACAUCAUCCAUCCUUGUCCUAGCACAUUACACAAAAUAGGAACUAACUAACAUCCAUCCUUGUCAUAUUACAUUACACAAAAUAGCUACUCAAUAACAUUCGUCCUAGUUAACAUUCACAUUACACAAAAUAGCUAUUGAAUAACAUCCAUAUCCUUCAUGCUUAACAUCCUUUAUGGGAAUGCAUGAACAUCCACAAACACAAAUGAUGAGCUACAAAAUACUGGUGAUCCCUCAUUGCUCUGAUUGUUGCGACUAUGGUGGUUGUGAGCCCUUUAGUUGCUAUUCUUCUUGGUUGUUGAGAGCUGUCCUCCUAAUCUGAAUCUUGGCUCCUAGAUUGUGUAAACCCUGCAACACAAACCAUGAAUGUGACCAAACCUACCAACAUGUGUAUAUCACCAUAUAAGUGUGGAAAAGUAUUUACCUGAGGACAAAGUGUCGGUAGGCAGCGGAGAGCAUUAUGGCCUUUAUUCCCGCAUUUGCUGCAUGUCACAAUCUGCUUAACAAGCCUACUUUUUCACUUCCUGUGACCUAUCCCUCAUUCUCCUUGCAGCUCUUGUCCCAUCACCUUGCCCCAUUCAUUGUUCCCUUUGGCCUUCACCUUCUUCAUUCACUUCUGCUCAAACUCUAAUAUCACAGUUACAAGCAUUAUGACCUCUGAUACCACAUCUAUCGCAGUGCAUACAUAUCUCUUUCCUUCCUAGCACUGUUCCUAUCCCGUUUUGGCUGGCCAAACUUCCAAUUCUUGAUCUUUCUUACAUCUAGUCUUCUUAGGUCUGUCUGGUAGAAUCCUUGUAGUUGGAGGGUGGAUCACAUAAUUAGUAGCCACUUCCCAAGCCUGUUUUCUAGGUAAUGCUGGUAUGCCACCAUAGCCAUAGGCCUUUCGAGCAUAAUGUGAAGUGAAGUGUUCUAUGGUGUAUGUGUACACAUCCUUGCGCAUGAAUAACAUACUGCUAUGGAAUGCAAACACGAGAUACCAGACACGUCCCAAUAUCCAUAAAUAAUUGUACGCUUUACAAGAUCGACAACAUAACUGAAAUCAUUCAGUUCACAUUCAGCUACCAAUUCCAAAAUCUGCCUUACCACACAAUGUAUAUCAAUUAGCUUUCCCUUCUCGAUUUGCCUGCUAUCCUAGGACAUAUGACCAUCUCCUUAGUGUUUUGUAACACCUUGACCUUGUCCACUAGAUGUUUCAUCAUGUACAUACAGAUUCCCUCUUUCAUAUUAAUGAUUUUAAGCCCUCUCCAUUUCACUAUACAACCAUUGACUAUUUCACAAAUGUUGCUCUCAAUAGAAUCACUCUUAGGGACUCUAGACACAAAAGCACAUGAAAAGGUUCUAGGGUUUACACUCACAAAGUUAGUAUGGCAUAUGGGAUCUUCACCUGAGUCUUGUAGACGCUUUAGAGUGGCCAGGUGAAUGUUGAAUUCGACUUCAUUGCACAAAUACACACAAUUUCAGAAAGCUUCUCUACUGGCUCAAGACUUAUGUUUGAUAAUCUGUACCUGAAGCUGAAGAUCAAACUGUCAUCCAAUCCAUCACACUUGAUCUGUUCGAUGUCCAAGCUCAACAACCAACUCAUCCAUGGACAAACUUUGAUGGUGCUUCUGAUUUUGUCCCUAGUCCGAGUCCGGAUGACCUUGUCGAUUACUUUUGAGUUCUUUACUAUCAUUGUGUUGGUACAAUUUUUGGAUGUAGCUGCGUAUGCAUUCUUUUUCUUAGACUUUCUCACUCAGUUCUACCAGAAUUUAUAUUUGAACUCGUCUUGUCUUGGAGGUUAUCGAUUUUGUUUCUUUAGCAGGAACCUUCUUUACAUCUCAAUAGAACUUGAAGAGAUCCGUUCACAGACUUAGGUGUGGGGUGGGGGGAGAGAAUGUUGUAAUGCCACAGUGUAAAUCUGGUUUCGGUAAUUGAAGUAAGUAUUUUAUUUAAUUGAUUAUUAAUAUUUUAUUUUAUUUUAUUUGAUACAGAGAGAGAUCUAUCUCUCACAAAAGGAAAGAAAAGAGCACAAAAUUAAAAUUUACCUUACAAGAGUUGUUGACCGUUGCAAAACUCUCCUAUAAAUUGAUAAGCUUCUUAGUGUGUUGAGUUUAUCGAUUGAAAGAGUUAAAGUACUGAGUGAAGGAGCAAUUUAGCUUACGGGGAAUUGUGAGUUUGAGUUGUUGUGUUCGAAAGUAGAGGCAAUCUAGCGGGGAGCUUGGAUUAGUGUAUUGCGGGGAGUAAUAAAUUCAUCUACCAUUUAUAUCCUUUGUUUUUAGUAUUUAGUGAAACAUCUUAGUAAGGAUUGACACCGAACUAUAAAUUUAAUAGGUGGAACCACGUUAAAAUGUACGUGUAUCCUUUAUCGCUUUUCAAUCCUUAUUUCCUCAUCAUCAUUACAGUUCGAAUCAGUAACCGGCAAACUAACAAGCUUAUAAUCAAUUUACAUCAACUUAAUAGGCUUACGUUAAAGCCCACCUUCUUUCUUUGCUUAGUAAAAACGCAAACUCAUCUGUUUUCUUCUUCUUUACGUAUUUUGUAAGAUUUCAAUCAGAUCAUCUGAUCUGAUUCUGUGUCAAGCAAUCAGAAAAUCAGAGGGUUCAAUUUCAUCAAAGGGUGGAUGUCUACGUACGGGUUGAUGCCUUGGGAGGCGGGUCACGGGAUAAACCGAUGGUUCAAGAGCUUCUCGUCGAUGCUCUGGGGUGGGGGCGUGGGGCGUGGGGAGAAAGGAAUGUUGGGACUGAGUGCGACCCGUUGUAAGUAUAGAGGAGAGAAGUUGAUAGUUCAGAAUUUAGGGUGUGAGGCGUGAAGUUGAGAGAUUUGAGAUACAAAAGGACGGCUUGUAGGGAGAAAUCAAGGCACAAGAAUGUCAGGGAGAAGGUGGAACGAAGCACAGAAGAGGAAGGUACUUUGGGUGGGGAGAGUUUGAUAGGCAGGGGAGAGGCCUCAAUAGAUUUGAUGGGAGGGGGUUUGCUGAGAAGGAUCUAAGAUCUUAUUUAAUUUAUGUGGAAGACAUGCGGUGAUGGUGAUUCUAGAAUCUGUUGCUGAUGGUUUUCCUUAGUGUUUAGUGAAUUUUUAUGGUCCUUGCGAUAGAACCUUAAAGGCUGGGUUUAUUGAAGAGUUUAAAGGAAUCAUUUAAUGGUGGCAAUUACUUUUGGUCUUGUUAUGGGAUUUCAACAUGGUGAGGUAUUUGGAGGAGAUAUUAGGUGAGGGAUAGAAGUAGCAGUGAGAUGGAGAUGUUCAAUGAUUUCUUUACGAAAAUGGAGCUAGUGGAUCUGCCUUUGACUGGUGGAAACUUCACGUGGACUAACUUCCAACAAUAGCCCACCUUGUCUAGGUUAGAUAGAGUGACUAUUUCUUCAGCUUGGGAAGAAAUAUUUUCGGAUUGCAAGGUGAAGGUACUUCCGAGGGUUUAGUCCAAAUAUAACCCUUUGAUGCUUUCAGCAGGCCACAUGCCCUCUCUCAAACGGCCAUGACAGUUUGAGAUGAUGUUAAUGGAGCAUAAUGCUUUUAAUUUUUUUUGUCAAGUGGUAUGGAGCGAGGAGGUAGGGGGUUUCGGUGGUCUGUUUGUGUUGGCUAAGCGGAUGAGAUUGUUGAAGGAGAAGUUGAAGGAAUGGAAGAAAGUUGUUUCUAAAUGUAAUGAGGUUGAAAGUGAAAGAUGCUUGGAGGUGAUUGUUGGGGUUUGGAUAGACAGGAGGAGAGAAAGUGAUAAGAGGCCAUAGAUGCAUGCUGGAACUUGAAUUGGAUAAGUACUGGAAGAGAAAAGAAAUUAAUUGGAGGUAGAAGGCAAGAGAAACCAAUGUGAAACUUGGGGACCGCAACACAAUAUUUUUUUACAAGAUCGCGAACCAAAACAAGAGACGGAGCUUUGUGGAGAGUAUUAUAGUAGACAUGCUUGUAUAUGAGCGGUAGUUGGAGGUGGCGCAAGUGGUGGUGAGUUUCUAUACUAUACUAUAUACGGAGGAGAUUCGGGUACGACUUUUUCCGGGCGGAGUUCAUUGGGGAAAUAUUAGUGGAGAGGAAGGAUAAGUUUUUAUUAUGCCGUUCGCGGAGGACAAGGUGCGAAGGGCGGUAAUGAGUGUUGCGGGAAACAAGACUCCCGACCCGGAUGGUUUAAAUUUGGACUUCUAUAAACAAAAUUGGGAUUUGGUUAAGGAGCAAGUGAUGAGCGCAAUGAGGGAUUUUCAUUCUCGUGGGCUUCUUCCGGAUAUGAUGAGCUCUACCUUUGUUUCUCUAAUCACUAAGGAGUCGGUUGAAAAUGUGAAAGAUUUUUGGCCUAUCAGUUUAACGGGUAGUGUGUACAAUAUCAUUUCAAAAAUUCUUAUGGAGCGGCUCAGAGGUGUUAUGCCUAUCAUUUCGUAACAUUAAUGUGCCUUUGUUCAUGGUCGCCAAAUGCUUGAUGCCUCCUUAAUUUCCAAUGAGUUGAUUGAUUCAAGGAAGCGAAGUGGGAGACCGGGGUUGAUUAUUAAGUUAGAUAUUGAAAAGGCUUACGACCAUGUGAACUGACAUUUCCUUUUUGAAAAUUUUUAUAGGAUGGGGUUUCCGAGAAAGUGGAUUGAUUGGAUGAAGGGGUGUAUCACUUUUCUUAGGUUCUCAGUCCUAGUUAAUGAGGAAGCUUUCGGGUAUUUUAAGAGUUUGAGAGGAUUGCGUGAAGGGGACUCGUUAUCUCCUUUCUAUUUAUUUUGGUGAUGGAUGUGUUGACUGCUAUCUUCGGAGUUUUGAGAGAUAACAACAUCAUUGAGGGCUUUUUUACAUGAAUGAGAUGGACAGAGAAGGGGAGGUGACACAUUUUCUAUAUGUUGAUGAUACAAUUAUAUUUUGUAGAGCUUCCAAGAGUCAGGGCAGAGGGUAGCUUGCGGCUUUGAUUGUAUUUCAGUCAAUCACUAGGCUGAAAGUUAACCUGGAUAAGUGUAGUAUCUCUCCGGUGGGGCAAGUCAAGAAUUCCCAAGCGAUGACAGAUGUUUUGGGAUACGUGAAGCAUGACUUCCCAAGCACGUAUCUUGGCCUGCCUUUGGGUCCCAUGGCGAUUAGUGAUUUAAUUUGGGGUCCAAUGGUGACGAUAGUGCGUAAGAGGCUUGAAACAUGGAAGGCAAGACAUCUGUCUUUUGGUGGGCGACUCACUUUGAUCAAAAGUGUGUUGUCUAGCCUUCCAAUUUACUACCUUUCUUUGAUUCGGGCAUCUAUCUUGGUCAUCACGGUCAUCGAGAAGAUCCAGAGUGACUUCCAUUGGACGGGCAUCUCUGAGACUAGAAGUAUCACAUGUUUAGUUGGGAUAGGGUGAAGAUUCCUAAGGACUAGGGAGGGUUCAGAAUUAUGGAUUUGAGGAGUAUGAACAAAGCUUUACACGGUAAGUUUUUAUGGAGGUAAGAGGUGGAAAGAGGUGUGUGGUGGAGAACGGUCAUCGAGGUUUAAGUUUGGUUUGGACAAAGGUUCGGAGUGGCAGUCAGCCUGUGAAUUUAGUUCGUCUGGGUGGUCUGUCUGGUUCAGGAUUAGGAAGGAGAGCGUUGAGUUCUGGGAGUUUGCUUUCGUCGAUCUUGGGGAGGGGAGUGGGUUAGGUUUUGGCAUGAUAUUUGGAUGCCUGGGAAACACUUGAUGAGAGACUUUUCGCGGUUGCGGCCGUUGCGCAAACCCCAUAUGCUUUUAUUACUAACAUGGUUGUGGUGAAUGACAGGUACGAAUGGAAAAUUGAGCUCAAUGGUGUUUUGAGAGGGGGGCACUCUUGGGGAACUUUAUAGGCUGCAUGACCUUUUGCGCCACUUACCGUCGGAUGCCCUCUCGGUCGGCCCGCCUCGGUUCAGAUGGAGUUAGAUCGAUGAGGUGUUCGGUCAAAUCCUUUAAGUCUGAAAUUCCGUGUACCAAGUGUUUGGGAUGUGCUGAUUUUCCAUAUGAUGUUAUUUGGUUGUCGCCAGUUCCAACGAGGUUACCUGUUUUGUGUGGUCGGCGUGCUUAAAUUCCAUAGCAACCAUGGACAAUUUGAGAAGGAGGGGAGUCAUUGCUUCUAAUAGGUGUGUAAUGUGCUGUCAAGGGGAGGAAUCUGUUAGUCACUUGUUGAUGCAUUGUCAGUUUGCAUGCUCGGUGUGGAGCUGGCUCUUACUAGCAAUGGGGAGGAUUGGUCCAUUUUCUGGUGAGGUUUGAGGGCUGCUGGAUGAAUGGAAUGAAUCGAAAAGGUUUCCCCGAUUUGGGAGAUUUAGGAAGGUGGUUCAUUAAGCGGUUAUGUGGUAUUUGAAAGACUAUUCGGCGUGGUUGAAUGUGAUUUUUCACCCGCAAUGAUUUGGGUUUCGGGUUUUGAGAUGUUCGAUGCAGUUUCGAUCUUUGCCUUUUUAUUUUGCUGUUUGCAGGUGGUAGUAAGGUCUGGUUUUGUUUCACUGGUCUUUUAUUGUUUUUAUGGUUUCCAUUAUGGCCUUGCAGGGAUGCAAUUCGAGACCUCUUCGUCUCAUCACGUUUCCUCUCUUUUGUUUUGGGAGCAGAUGUGGCAGCUGCUUUCCUUUGGUUUGUACCCCUCUUUUGUGCUUCGAAACAGAGUUUUGGGUGUUUUUGGUCUUGUGGUGGGUUGUGGUCUCGGUUUUUGCUUUUGUUUGGCUUUCUUUGCUUGCCUAGAUUACCUUAACUUUUGCGUUAUUUUCUGUUAUUUUGUUUAUGUUCUUGUAGCUGAGUUUUGUUCUACUAGUUGUAGGACAUGGUUGUUAAAAAUAUAUAACGCAAGAAGGCCCAUUAUUAUUUAUUAAGGGAUUUUUUAUAGUUGGAUUUUAAUUAUUAUUAGGCAAAGGAUCAAACAUUAACAAUUCAGACAUGAGGCUUUGAGGGUCAUUGCUCACAUCUAAAAUUAUAAUAACGUGAUAUUUGGAAGCCUUUUCAUAUAUUCAAUUCAAGAAGUCCCUCCACUAUUCAUUAGUUGGAAAAUUUACAUGUUCCCCUCUUAUAAUUCCAUAUUCAUUAGUUAUGAAGGGUUUUGUUUUACUCUUUAUUUUGUGGUGCCAACAUACCUUUGGGAUUUUUUUAAAGUUCAUUUCUAAGGGUAUUCAAUUAAUUUCUAAUGUUAAUAUUUUUAAUUUUGGAGGUUAUUAUUCGAUGUUUAAGAGUUUUUCAAAAAUCUUUCUAACAAUUAUAAAUGGCUUAAUUUUCUAUUAUUAAACACAUAAACUCGAAAUUUAAAUUUUUCUUUUUUUCCAAAUGAAUCACCGACGAUCAUCUACCAAUCCAACCAUCGUCGUCCGAUUAUCAUCGGUCGCCGGCUAACAUUGAUGGUCAGUUUUUAAAAAAAAACAAUAUCCCAUACACCGUUGGGUAGAUGACCAGGCUGUUUAUGCGGGGAUGAUCUCGUGCUGGUUUUGUUUGGUAUUUACUAUAUGUCGUUCAGUUAGUGGUUUUUUUUAGUACUGCAAUUGGUCAUUGUCUUCAACAAAAAUUUCCAAGGUUUCUAAUGGAAAAACUCUACAUGAUUAAACAUAUAUGUAUAACAACAAUUUUUGCAGUAACUCAAAAUUCAUGUAUUUUCUACUAUUUUGUAAUAUCACAUAGUUCCAAGGAAGUGGAUUAAUGUACUUUAUAUAACCUAAUUUUAUUAGUGAGAAAUUGAACUAAAUAUAUAAUCUAACUUACAUUACCUACUUUAUAUACAUCACUAUAUAUAUACAGGUGAACAAACAUAUCGACAUACUAACUAAUUAAUAAGCGACACCAUUUUUAAUAAAAUACAUAUUUACUAUUUUACUAAAAUAACUCGAAUUAUAUUAAUUAUCAAUGGUGAUUACAAGAUUCUUUCAUUUUUCAGAAAAUUUAUUAGUUUUGCAAUAGUGUUUUCAAAAAUUUCUGUCUUCGUUGAUUCACAUUUCAUAAUACUUUUAUUGUAUUGAUAACUAAUAUAAAAAGAGUUAUUUUAGUAAAAUAUUAAAUAAAUAUUUUAUUACGAACAUAUUAAUCCAUUUAUAUAAACGACAUAAAAUAAAAUAUAUACCUAAAGAAAGAUGAUGGAAGAGGAAAAAGGCAUUGUAAUGGGAAUAGUGUUGAAACAUACAAAAUGAAAAAGGAGAUUGAGGAGUUGAUUAAUCAUGAUUGAGGAGUUGGCUAAUGUAUGAAAAGCUUAAAUUUGGGAGAAUCAUCUUUGUGGGAAGGGGGUGGAUGAAAUUGAAAGCCAAGAUUGUGGUAUGUGGUGGUGGAGUACAGUAGCCGAUGGAAGCUGCAUUGUCAAGCAAAGCAAUCCACAAAUAUUUUCUUCACCCAAAAGUCCCUCUUCCUCACUCACCAUUCAAACUUGCCAUUGCUCUUCCCCACCACUAACUAUUCUCUCAAACCCAAAUCUGAAACACAACAAAACUCAAUGGCAAACCAUAUCAUGAAUUAGUAUUUGGCAACUCAUGUUUCUAUAUCCUCUCAUUAUUCGCUAAUUCAUGGCUUAUAUACUUAUUAAUAACCUAGUAUUUUACCCGGUUUGGCCGGAUACAUAUGAUUUAUAUUUUUUUUUAAAUAUGAUUAUGAGGUUUAAUUUUAAUAAACCAAGGGAAUAUAAGUGUUUAUAAUCAAUCACCUAAUUUAAUGUUACAAUAUAUACAAUAAAGUAUUUUAAUUUACUUAGUUUUAGUGGGACAAUACCUGAUUAUAGUAAAAGUUAAUGUCUCACUUUGGAUUUUUCAAAUAUUUAUAAUAUAUGAUAAAAUAUUAUAGGUGAAUUCUUCGGUAUACCUGGUAUACUGAAAGUUUUGGUAUGCCUAGUUUUUUUGUAAAUAACGUAGACCAUCAUAAACGUCCAUUUUAAAUAAUCGAUCUUGACGGUUAAUAAAUAUAAUUUUAAAAAUUAAUCACACAUAUAGUUUUAUGGUCUUGAUCUUAAAAUACUUUUACAAACUCAUAUUUUAAUGUUUCGGUAUUUCGUAUUGAUUUGAGUGUUUAUUUUAUCAUUAAAGUACAUACGGUAACGGUUUGACAAACGUCUAGUUUCGCCAUGAACUCUUCUUUAUCAAACAAAAAUUCAAACCUUGCAGCGACGCGACAGCGUUGGCUAAUCAAACCCCAUCACCGGCGACACUGCUAUUAUUCAAACUCUUCUUUAUUUUUGUCAGCUAAAUAUAUAAAUGUAUAAGGUGUUUUCGCCGUCUAUAGACCGGAGCAAAGCCAUACCUUCUUCCUCAUGGCCCUGACACACCACUACGAUGUCGCGGACGUAGUUCGAUACCAGGUGACCAGACCGGGCUGGGAACAUUAAACUGGCGAGCCCUGAUUCAAUAAGGGGAAGGCCACUAACAAGACCCUCCGCUUUGACUCCAUUACGGUCGAUGAUGUAUACAUAUCGUAGCCUUGGUAUCUACCUAGGUUGCUUUCUUGAACCUUGUUUCUUCUUCCGGGUGAAAUUUUGUUGAUUAAUUAGCUCGUGUAUUCUGCUUAGCAAUUGAACAACAGCCUAGAAAGGGAUCCUGAGCGUAAUUGAACAACGGCCUAGUUAGUGUAUUCUAAUUAGUUACCCUGCUUUAAUUACAAUACGAACCAUCAUUUUUUCUAAAUGAUCCAAUGCAUUCAAAUACUCUACAAUUUAACUGGAGUUUCUUUCAACUAGUGAUGUUACAACUGCUAGCUGCAUCUUAUAUUUGGCUUUUUUCUAGUGCUAGAAUUAUUGCUUUCUGAAAAUUCAUUCCCAUCCGACGAUAUGAUGUCCGCCGAAGAUUUUGAAGGCCAUGUUUGAUUUUUGUGCAUACUGUGUUAAGGAUUAAGAGAUCAUUUGCAGAAAUGGAUCAUGUUAUUAUUCCAGUGUUCUUGCACAGUUUUGUUUGUUUGUCUUAUUUCUCUGCAUUCAAUGAAUAUUUGCAACCAAGUUGCAAAGUACCUGGUUGAUAUUCUGAUUUGUUGUCUUUGAUGAUUCUAUACAGUGUAAUAAUGGGAGGAAGACGAUGGAAGAAUUUAUGGCAUUUUUUUUUAUAAAGAAGAGUUUAUGGUGAUUUAAAUUAGUGUUUGAUUCAAGCUGUUAACAUAUAUACUUAUACAAAUAAACACUCAUUGGUUGAUGCGAAAUUCUGAAACACUAGAAUGACGAAUUUGUAAGAGUAUUUUAAGUACAAGACCAUAAACGAUAUAUGUAAUUAAGUUUUAAAAUUAUAUUUAUUAUCAACCGUCAAGAUCGAUCAUUUAAAAUGAACGUUCAUGAUGAUUUACGCUACCCAUAAAAAACUAGCACACCAAAACUUUCAGUAUACCAAGUAUAUUGAAGAAUUUUCACCAUUAUUAUAUAUAAAUUUUGAUAAACUUUAUUUCAUGCGCUUGUUAUUGCUAACAUAAUGUAUCUUUAUUGUUCGUAAAUGGAUAUCGAUGGGUUAUAAUUUUCGAUAAGGCAUUCUUAUCAUUACAAAUAGAAAUAGUAAGUUUAUGAAAAUAUUGAACCUUUAUCCGAUAAGUAUCUAGUAUCAUAAUAUCAAGUGUUCAAUUAUUUAGCACUCAUACUCGAUAAGCAUAUAUAUGUUAAAAGUUAGAUGAAAAAAUUUAUGAAAAUAAUAUAUAACACGUAGACCCGAUAAGCAUAUAUAUGUAACAUAUAGAUUUGAUAAACAUAUAUAUAUGUGACGCAUAUACCCGAAUAUAUAUAUGUAGAAAUAAAGAAUUUUAAUUUACAACCAAUCGGUUGGUUACCGUGGAGCGGUAAUAAUAUUACAUUACCUUUUUCCUAUUUUAUAAUCAGUUGGUUGGAGUGGAGCGGUAAUUUCGCGUUGAAGACUUUGUAUUACGGUGAGUAUAGGAAUACGGGUCCUAGAGCCCCGAUCGGUGGGCGAGUGAAAUGGGCCGGGUAUUUUAACAUUAUUUUUUCCUAUUAUUGUAAAAUAAUCAGGUUAUUAAAAUAAAAGGAAUAUUAAAAUAAAAUUUGAUUGGUUAGAAUUUUAAAAAUAUAAAUUAAAAAUUUAUAUAGCAGGAAAAAUCUAAAAUAUAAAAUACAUAUGGUAGAUAUAUAGGAAAUGAGAUAGAACUUAUACUUGAACUCCAAUCGUAAUUAACUCCAGAAAACCACAGCUGAAAAUCUCCUUCAAAAUCCACCUAUAAAAAACGAGUACAAUUUUGCGGCUAGGGACAUUGUUUAAUUUUUAUCUUUAAAUUUUCAUCUGAUUUAAGAGUUAAAAGUAAUUAGAAGCAAUAUAGUUUUGUUUUUUUUAAUAUUUUAAUUGGAUCAGAAUUCUAUCAUUUUUUUUAUUACCGGAUCAUUCCCGUUAGGAUUGGGAAUUUCGGUUCUGGGUAUACGAUCGAACUUGUAAUCUGAUCGGUCAAACCCAGGUCCGGACCGGAUCCCAGGCCUAUCUUACGUCACCAAAAAGUUUCCCGAUCGAUUUCCUAUAGAUUCCAACCACCGUCGACGAAAUAAUUUACAUUUACGUGAUUAUCGUCUUCGACUCCAUGUUUAUAAAAGAAAAAAUAAUUUUCUAAAAAUAUUUUCUAACAAUCAUUUUUACUAUUUUAUAUGAAUCAUAUAAAUAUGUAUUGGUUUGUACAAACUCAUACAAAAAUAUACACACAUUUAUAACUUUUGUACAAAGUAUAAUACUACGUUUUUCUCCUACAAAAAAGUAUAAAUACUAAUUAGUCUAAUACAUAACAUAUAUGUGAAACGUGAAUUUUGGCCCAUGUUUACAACUAUUAGAUGUAGAGCACAAAUUUUAGACUGUCAAAUUGAAGUUUCAUUUGUCCAACUCCAAAUUCGAUAUCUAUCAGCAGUAAGCUUUAUAUUGGUGGGAAAAAUGAAAUUUUUAAUCAUCGCCCAAGAAGAACAUUACAUAGCUAUCAUCAUCAUCAUCAUCUCCUUGUUAUUCGUCAGUUUUUCAUUCUUGACUUUAUUCUCCGUAGCUCGUCAUUGUCACCUACUCUUUUAUCCCACACUUCAACAGAAAACCAAAGCAAACCCAAAAGCUCUUCCACACGAUACACCAAAAGUCUUCUUCUUCUUCUUCCCCCUUCCCUCCCCUGCACCUACCAACCAAACCACUCUUUACUUCUCCUUCCAAUAAUUCAUGGAUCCUUACAACCCGACCCGAAUGUACGACGGCGUCCUCGAAAUCUACGUCCACCACGCCACAAACAUCCACAACAUCUGCAUCUACGACAACCAAGACGUGUACGCCAAAUUCUCGCUGACCUACAACCCGGACGACGCCGUAUCCACCCGGAUCGUCAACGGCGGCGGGAGGAACCCGGAAUUCAACGAGAAGAUCGCCGUCAAAGUCUCCCAAGUCCUCGACGCUGUCGUUAAAUGCGAGAUCUGGAUGUUCAGCAGGGCUAGAAACUUGAUGGAGGAUCAGCUCCUCGGAUUCGCUCUCGUCCCUGUUUCUCAGGUGAUCGGGAAAGGGGAAGUCUCGCGAGAUUAUACACUCUCCUCCACCGAUCUCUUCCAUUCCCCUGCCGGAACCGUCAAAUUGACCCUCUGUUUAACGCCGUUAACGUUAUCUCUUCCUUCCUCCGCCACCGUUAAUUCCUCGAUUUCGUCCGAGGUAGUUCUGCUCGAUCAUAGGAAGAUGGACCCCGUGGAGUAUUCUAGAAUCGAAUUUCCCGAUUUCAACGUCGCGCACCAGAAUCAGCAAAUGGUUUCCGAGUAUUUCGAUCGGAAACUCGGUUCCUUCCUCCAUUUAGGAAAUCUUCCUCCUCUCCCCACCGAUUGCGGAGGUGGUUCGGUUUCUCCCGGCGGAAGCUUCAGGACAUCAUCCGGGUUCAUUAGCUCCUCCACUACUACAAGCUUCACCGACGAGAAGAAGAGCUGGCGAUCGUCACCCUCCGCCACCUCCCUGAACGUCUCUGUUUCCGGCGAAGGAAAUCAGAGCUUGUCGUCUUCCUCCGGCGGGUGUCCGGACACUCCGACGUCAAGGAAAGGGAGCGUAAUCAGAGACGAGAAAGACGGGAGGAAAGAAGAGGGAAACGGGAACAAGUUGAUCGACGGCGGGAAGUACGGCGAAAUCUUCGCGGCGGGGACUCUACCGCCGGGGAUUCCCGAGCAGGAUUCUGAGGGGGGGGGGGUGGGCGAGCCGAAGGCGAGAGGGGUAUGCAGCAGCAGAUAGUGGAUAUGUACAUGAGGAGUAUGCAGCAGUUUACUGAGUCGCUUGCUAAAAUGAAGCUUCCGAUGGAUUUUGACAAACCCGGAGGAGGAGGAGAUUUGAUUCAAGCAAUUCAUGGGAAUAGUGGUAAUGAUCAUAAGCAGGAGGAUGAAAUUGAUGAGCACCAACAACAGCAGCAGAAGAAGAAAAAGGAUGGAUCAAGGGUGUUUUAUGGGAGCCGAGCCUUCUUCUAGACCAGUUAUUGAUUUACGUCACCAUUCAUAACUGUAGAUUAACUCUGGUUUAUUUCUUCUUUGAUGGAAUUGGUAUGAAUUUAAUUGUAUCAUUCUCCUUAUUUUCUUUCCUGAGGAAUUGUCGUGCCUAUGAAAUGAAAUGAGGCGAGAACCCUUGCAUUUGUGUUCCUUGAUUCUGCCAAUGUUCUUUCUUAUUGUCCUUUUUUUUCUUUUCACUCAGGAACCUGUAUGCUUGCACAGCAUAGGAAGGAUUAAUAUUAUUGAUCUCAAUUAGGUAUUAUAUCAUAUAACAAAAUUUGAUCUAUUCGAAAAAUUCGGGGUUUAUCCAUCCACGUAAUAGGAGAAUUUUAAUGUGUUGUAUUGUGUGCCAUAAUAUGCACGGCGUGGUUGAUAUAUCGCCUACAAAACUACCAGUUUCCAACAUCAAACUUCUCGAGAAGACUGCGAAUAUUGCGAUAUAAAAUACCCAACUUAGCGUCAUUAUCUUCAGGCGGUGAAGACCAUCAAGAUCAUACUAUCACUCUCAACAAGCACUUUAUGUUUCCAAACAAGCUGAAGACCAAAUUCCACAGCAGAGGCCUCUGCCAAUUCCGGAGUCCAGCAACCUUCUCCUCUUUGCACUGCAGCAACCACAAAGAGACCGUCCUUGUCACGAAUUACAACGCCAAAUCCCACGUCGGUAUCCCCAAAAAUUGCAGCAUUAGUGUUGAUUUUCAAAAAACUAGAAAGCGGGCGUGACCGCUUAGGAAUAACAUCACUGGAAGUCGGGGCUGAAACAUUACUCUAAUUAUAUUGGUAGCUUUGAAAUUCCACCUUAGGAGUCCCAAGUGAACCACUGGUUCAAUCAAAGAGUCCUACUCGGAUUUCAACCUGAGACAUACUCAAUACUCCACUACUAAUAAAUGCGUAAAAAUAAACAGUAAAACCAAACCGAAAUACUUAAAUAAAUUGACUAACUAGGAUCCCGGAUCCAAAACAUAACAAGUCAAAGGAGAUACAACUUCAGUUAUGAAAAUAAUAAAAACUAUAGCAUCUGAUAUCAAAACCUCGACCAGCUCUCUCCCCACCAUCAGCUCCAGUACAUGUGACUGAACAUACACAAAUACACCAAGGAAACAAAAUCUACCGAGGUCAGUGAUAAGCACUGCAUGACUGACUAGUCCUGAUAGAACUGAAACAUAAACUAAGAUUUUACUGAGCCUUUACUUAGACUUUAUUAAGCUUGAACUGAAGAUAGAACAAGAAAUCUAUCUAAACACUACAUCUAGUAAUGUGGCCAUGUGGUCCUGUAGGCGUCAACCUAUCAUCAGCCACCCCUAGAUGUGAGCAAACAGCCUCAUAGUGGAUCAGACCAUGAAACUACCCUGAAUACCGUGAUAGCAGCAACUGAAGGCAUACUCUUCACCUCCUGCUUGAGCCUGAUUAUAACCUUGGGGAUUGCGCAAUCCAUGGGUGGGUGACCAACACAUAACGAAAGCUAGUCUAGCUAAUCCAGAAUCAUGCCCUAAGCAUGACCUGUGGAACACUCGCCACAGUCCAAUCGCCAAGAGCCUAUGCUCCAAAAAUAUAUAACUAUCUGUACAAUAAAUCACACGGUCAUGUAUAACCUGAGAUCCAUGCCUUGAAAUACAACACAUGUAUAGUAGAUCACACGCUACUAUACAGUCCUGAGAGUCCAAUCAUUGGAUUCCUAACCGCCUAAUUACAGUUCUACGCUUAAAGCAGAAAAGUAAUCCUAUAACCCUCAACUGGUAUGAAGAGCUGACACCUCUGAUUCUGAGUUGACAUGAUUCCUCUCGCUGCCACGAGUUUGUAGCUUAUGACCGUGCGUCAUUUGGAGAUCAAACGAUCAAGUUAUGCUCCAUUUACUUCUUGGCAACAUCUUGAAACUUGCUAGAACAGAUACGUUGCGCUAGUCCUCCAACUGCCUCCGUUACACUAACUGAACCGAAACUUCUAGACGUUGAAAAAUCUGACCUGGGUCCUUAACUGUGAACCGUUCAUAAGUUUAGAACUACGGAAGCAAGAUUUAAGAAUAACUAAAUUCCAGAUUAGUCACUUAACUUUCAAACUUUGUAAACAGAUCCCUCUUCUUUUCUGGCGGACUGCGGUCGCCACAGACGAGCUCCGCCCAGUUCUAGGCGAGCUCCCAUCUUAUUCAAAAAUGACAGACAAAUUCAACGAUUUAAGCAAAACAAGAGAGAUUCAAUUUACCACAGUAUUGGUACUCUUGGCCCCGAUGGCUGAGUUUAUCAUGGCGGUAAUGGAGGGUUGAUGGUUUGGUGCGGCGGUGGAGUUGAUGUUUCGGCGUCGGCAACUCAGUGGAUGACGGUUUGGUGAUGGUGUUCAUGGGUGUUUGAUGGUAACGAUGGAUGCUUGAGUGGUAGCGGCAAUGUUGGCGAUGUACAGGAUGCCGAGAUGUCCUAAAAUAGGGAGAAAAAGCCCUAGGGUUGGGAGAGGCUAAUGCCAUAUUUUAAUUAGAAAGGAAAUUAAAUUUAGUGUCUUUCAAACUGUAUGGCCGCGAAUUUAAAUUGUGUUUUUCAAAUAUUAUGGCAACCUUUUGUGAUUUUUUUUAUAUGAGGAAAGUAUUCGCAAUUCCCUCUCGUUAAACACUCCCCUAAUUAUUUGGGUUAGUAAUUUUAAACAUUCUGUAUAUUGAAAGUAAAUAAUCAUUAGCAAUAAUAUACUUUCCUUAUUAAUUCCCUAUUUUAAAAUUGAUUAAAUUGUACUCCAUAAAUGUAAAUUAAGGUCAGAUUAGUAACUGCUUUACUACACACGUUUUUACCAACAAAAAAAAAA
rnacentral:lncRNA from 1 species